AAAAGAACAGCGUUUUGCUCGCUUUUCAUAGUUUCAUCAGUGUGUAACGGACCGCAAUUGUUGCCGCUGUUCCUGAUUAUAAUAGUAUAGUACUGCAUUCGUAAACUGUCCUUAGGGGUAUAUACCACAGUGAAGAUAUCAAAAUGGGUGAUAAACGAAGAAAAACUGUAGUGACUAUGGAGAAGAAAUUACGCGCUAUACAGCAACUAGACACUGGUGUAACAGCAAAAAUUAUAGCUUCAGAGUUAGGAGUUGGAAAAAGUACAGUAGGGGACUGGAAAAGAAAUCGAUCUGAAAUUGAAAAGUGGUGUCUUGCACAAGCUAGUGGAAGUGGAAUAAAAGUAAGAAAAACAAUGCUGAAAGGUAAGCAUAAAGAAGUUGAGGAAGCUUUAUUUGUGUGGUAUGAGCACUUCAAAGAAAUAGGUGUACCUGUAACUGGGCCUAUAUUGCAGAAAAAAGCUUUGGAAAUUAAGCGACAAAUAGAAGGGCAUGAUUCAGAUUUUACAGCCAGUGAUGGAUGGUUAGAUCGCUGGAAAAAACGAUUCGGCAUUCGCCAGAUUACCAUAAGUGGGGAAGCAUUAUCUGCUGAUAAAGAGGCUGUGCCUGUGUUCAAAGACUACCUUCUCAACUUUAUAGAAAAAAAGGGAAUUUCUGAGGAGCAGUUAUACAGCUGCAAUGAGACAGGUUUAAAUUAUAAGAUGCUCCCUGCCAAAACAUUUGUAUCGAAAAAAGAAGCCGCUGCACCAGGAUACAAGAAAAGUAAGGAACGAGUCACCAUUUUGGCUUGCAGUAAUGCAACUGGCAAUCACAAGCUCAGGUUGACGUUAAUAGGAAAAUCUAAGAAACCUAGAGAUUUUAAAAAUCUGGAAUCACUACCCGUAUAUUACAAAUAUCACGAAAAAGCAUUGAUGAAUUCAGAAAUUUUUAAAACCUGGUUCCAAAAUGAAUUCGUACCAGCUGUAGAAAAACAUCUUAAGAACAACAACUUGCCAAGAAAAGCUUUAUUAAUUCUUGACAACGCACAUUCGCAUCCGGCCACUGACGAACUCGCAGAUGGGGACAUCAAAGCUUUAUUUUUACCACCUAAUGUAACAACUAUUUCUCAGCCCAUGGACCAGGCAGUCCUUGUACAACUAAAGAAAAAAUUUCGCCGGCGUCUUCUCAGUUCAUUGAUAUCAGCGAUUGAUAAUAAUGGAGACUACGUAACCAUUCUGAAAAAUAUUGACAUGCUAGAUGUCAUAAGGUGGUCGUCGGAAGCAUGGGAAGAGAUUCCGAACAUAUCACUUGUAAGGUCUUGGAAAAUACUUUUAGACCAUGAAGAUGGAUAUUUCAACCCUGAACCAAUGUGUGAAAUAGAAAUGGAAGAUGAAAACGCUAAACUUGUUGCAUUGCUGGAAAAAGUGCCGGGCUGUGAAGAUAUCACUGCAAAGGACAUUACAGAUUGGAUGGCAAACGACGAAAUUCAUGAAAUAACUGAUAACGAUUUUAUGGGAAUUGUGAAACAAGAAGUAAUGGAGGAAGAGGAGCAAGAACCCUUAGAUGAUAGAAAAAAUCUCAUACCACAUUCAGAAGGGCUCAAGAGGAUUGAGGCAGCAUUGCAAUAUAUUAGUCAGCAGGAGGAAUCGACGCCGACUGAUAUCAUCUGUUUGCGUAAGUGGAUGGACAUAGCGUCGCGAAAGAGAGCUACAAUGUAGAAGGAGUCAUCUCUUAAGGAUUUUUCCAAAAACUGCAUGAUUUAUGUACAAGCAGAAGAGACGAAACACAUCACGCAUAACGACACAAGAGAAAAUGAGGAAAAGCUAAUGAAAAUUUUAUCCCUGUGAAUAUAUACUGUGUCAUUUUGAUAGGGAUUUCCUACACAUGUCGAAUUUAGUUUCGAGUAAGUCAUUUGGAGGAAUACAGAGAAAUUUUGCGAAGAUUCUCUAAAAGUGUUGAUCUGCCGUUCGUGAAACAGGAUGACAAGUGACAAGAAGAUGAUGAGGAAGGUCAGUGAUUGACUACCUGUGGCUAAGGGCCAAUCACCUGGAAGAGGAUGCCAGUUCGGAGAAUUUGCCUGUAAUAUGAUUGGAUUAUGAUAAAGACAGCAGUGCGGCCACAAGAAAUCCUGUCGCUACUGCUUCGUUCAGUGGUGGCGGGGUGGUUGGCUGUACACAAGAAGUUUCGAGUGAAGUCUAAUGUGGUUGAUGAUGCAUUGAAAGGUUCCUGUGAUUGAGUUAUUCCUGGUAUUUUUCUUAAACGGAACAUUUUUCUAUAACCGGAUGGGGAAAAUAGUUUUAAUUCUGGUAGAAAUUCUAACCAGGCGUGUUUCUAUCAAGCAUUUGGCCAGACAUUCUGUGCAAUCAAAUCUCUGAAUAUAAUGUACCCAUACCUGUAAACAAUAUAUUUAUAAAUCUGAAUAAAUAUUUAGUCUAGAU